rnacentral:rRNA from 1 species
CAGUAGCCACGGUAAUACGGAGGGAGCUAGCGUUGUUCGGAAUUACUGGGCGUAAAGCGCGCGUAGGCGGUUACUCAAGUCAGAGGUGAAAGCCUGGGGCUCAACCCCGGAACUGCCUUUGAAACUAGGUAACUAGAAUCUUGGAGAGGUCAGUGGAAUUCCGAGUGUAGAGGUGAAAUUCGUAGAUAUUCGGAAGAACGCCAGUGGCGAGGGCGACUGACUGGACAAGUAUUGACGCUGAGGUGCGAAAGCGUGGGGAGCAAACAGGAUUAGAGACCCCGGUAGUCCCUGUCUCUUAUAC